rnacentral:rRNA from 1 species
GUGAAACUGGGGGCUCAACCCCCAGCCUGCAGUGGGUACGGGCAGACUAGAGUGCGGUAGGGGAGAUUGGAAUUCCUGGUGUAGCGGUGGAAUGCGCAGAUAUCAGGAGGAACACCGAUGGCGAAGGCAGAUCUCUGGGCCGAACUGACGCUGAGGAGCGAAAGGGUGGGGAGCAAACAGGCUUAGAUACCCUGGUAGUCCACCCCGUAAACGUUGGGAACUAGUUGUGGGGCCGUGACGCAGCUAACGCAUUAAGUUCCCCGCCUGGGGAGUACGGCCGCAAGGCUAAAACUCAAAGGAAUUGACGGGGACCCGCACAAGCGGCGGAGCAUGCGGAUUAAUUCGAUGCAACGCGAAGAACCUUACCAAGGCUUGACAUACAGGUGGUGCAUGGUUGUCGUCAGCUCGUGUCGUGAGAUGUUGGGUUAAGUCCCGCAACGAGCGCAACCCUCGUUCUAUGUUGCAACUCAUGGGAUACUGCCGGGGUCAACUCGGAGGAAGGUGGGGAUGACGUCAAAUCAUCAUGCCCUUAUGUCUUGGGCUUCACGCAUGCUACAAUGGCCGGUACAAAGGGCUGCAAUACCGUAAGGUGGAGCGAAUCCCAAAAAGCCGGUCCCAGUUCGGAUUGAGGUCUGCAACUCGACCUCAUGAAGUCGGAGUCGCUAGUAAUCGCAGAUCAGC